rnacentral:tRNA from 1 species
AGGGUCGUGGUGUCAACGGUAACACAUCGGACUUUUAAUCCGAACGAUGAGGGUUCGAAUCCCUCCGGCCCUA